rnacentral:rRNA from 1 species
UACGUAGGGACCAAGCGUUGUUCGGAUUUACUGGGCGUAAAGGGCGCGUAGGCGGCGUGACAAGUCACUUGUGAAAUCUCUGAGCUUAACUCAGAACGGCCAAGUGAAACUGUUGUGCUAGAGUGCAGAAGGGGCAAUCGGAAUUCUUGGUGUAGCGGUGAAAUGCGUAGAUAUCUGGAAGAACACCGGUGGCGCAAGCGGCUUGCUGGGCUGUAACUGACGCUGAGGAACGAAAGCUAGGGUAGCGAAUGGG